AGAACGAACGCUGGCGGCAUGCCUAAUACAUGCAAGUCGAACGAACACUUCGGUGUUAGUGGCGCACGGGUGCGUAACGCGUGGGAAUCUGCCCUUGGGUUCGGAAUAACAGUUGGAAACGACUGCUAAUACCGGAUGAUAUCGAAAGAUCAAAGAUUUAUCGCCCAGGGAUGAGCCCGCGUAGGAUUAGCUAGUUGGUGAGGUAAAGGCUCACCAAGGCGACGAUCCUUAGCUGGUCUGAGAGGAUGAUCAGCCACACUGGGACUGAGACACGGCCCAGACUCCUACGGGAGGCAGCAGUAGGGAAUAGUUGGACAAUAGGCGCAAGCCUGAUCCAGCAAUGCCGCGUGAGUGAUGAAGGUCCUUAGGGUUGUAAAGCUUCUUUACCCGAGUAUGAUAAUGACAGUAGUCGGAAGUAAGUAACGCCCCGGUACUAACCGUCCGUCGCCACGCACGCCGAC
rnacentral:rRNA from 1 species